CCUACGGGUGGCAGCAGUGGGGAAUAUUGGACAAUGGGGGGAACCCUGAUCCAGCCAUGCCGCGUGUGUGAAGAAGGCCCUCGGGUUGUAAAGCACUUUCAGUGAGGAAGAACGCCUGGUGGUUAAUACCCAUCAGGAAAGACAUCACUCACAGAAGAAGCACCGGCUAACUCCGUGCCAGCAGCCGCGGUAAUACGGAGGGUGCGAGCGUUAAUCGGAAUUACUGGGCGUAAAGCGCGCGUAGGUGGCUUGAUAAGCCGGUUGUGAAAGCCCCGGGCUCAACCUGGGAACGGCAUCCGGAACUGUCAAGCUAGAGUGCAGGAGAGGAAGGUAGAAUUCCCGGUGGAGCGGUGAAAUGCGUAGAGAUCGGGAGGAAUACCAGUGGCGAAGGCGGCCUUCUGGACUGACACUGACACUGAGGUGCGAAAGCGUGGGUAGCAAACAGGAUUAGAUACCCUAGUAGUC
rnacentral:rRNA from 1 species